GGUGUUCAUGCCAACCAUGCAAACAGGGAAAAUAACUGAAGUUACUCGCCUGCAUUUGGAGGAAAGCAACACUUCCUAUGAAGACAAUCCUGAAGCAGUGAACCACGUAAGCAGGAAAGCAUUACUGGAAAGAUAUCGUGAGAAGCGGAAAGACAGGUUCAAGAGAAAGAUGGGAAUGCCUUCAUCUGCUAGCUUGGACAUCUAUUUGAACCAUCGAACCAUAAAUCAUACCCAAAGCGAGCUCUCAAGUAGGAGCAACACUUGUUCCCCGCCCGCAAUUAGAUUAUCUGCUGCGCCUGCUCCAAGUGGUUCAAUGGAUAACAUUCUCCAAAUGGAUGCCAAUGCUUCUGG
rnacentral:misc_RNA from 1 species